rnacentral:lncRNA from 1 species
ACAAUUAAUGAAGUCUCAGUUACUUCUUCUUCCCUAACUUUAAAAUUAAUCUCUCACUCUAAAUGUAACGUUUAUUUACAGAUAUAAAAGCUUUAUAUAUAAUUAAUUGUUGAUAUUCCUCCAUUGGAUCCAAAAUCCAGAAUUAUCUGGAUUAGGGCAAUUCCUCUGUUUUCUUUGUUUCUCCAAUGUUCGUAUAUUUUGAAGAAAUCUAGCAAGAUCAACAAUGGCUACCGUUUCUACAGCUCGAAGCUCCGCUUAUCUCACAGCUCUUACCCAA